rnacentral:rRNA from 1 species
GGGGAAUUUUGGACAAUGGGGGCAACCCUGAUCCAGCCAUGCCGCGUGAGUGAAGAAGGCCUUCGGGUUGUAAAGCUCUUUCGCGAGGGAAGAAAUUGCGCCGGAUAAUACCUGGUGUAGAUGACGGUACCUUGAUAAGAAGCACCGGCUAACUACGUGCCAGCAGCCGCGGUAAUACGUAGGGUGCGAGCGUUAAUCGGAAUUACUGGGCGUAAAGCGUGCGCAGGCGGUUUCGUAAGACAGGCGUGAAAUCCCCGGGCUUAACCUGGGAACUGCGCUUGUGACUGCGAGGCUAGAGUACGGCAGAGGGGGAUGGAAUUCCGCGUGUAGCAGUGAAAUGCGUAGAUAUGCGGAGGAACACCGAUGGCGAAGGCAAUCCCCUGGGCCUGCACUGACGCUCAUGCACGAAAGCGUGGGGAGCAAAC